rnacentral:misc_RNA from 1 species
CAACCCCGCCAAACUCACACUAGUGGGGAGAUCAUUAACUACAUGAGCGUAGAUAUCCAAAGAAUUACGGAUUUCAUUUGGUACCUGAACAUCAUAUGGAUGCUGCCUAUACAAAUUUCUUUAGCAAUCUAUAUUCUAAAGACAAACCUAGGUUUGGGAUCAUUGGCAGCAUUAGCUGCAACUUUAACAGUAAUGAUGUGCAAUAUACCCAUCACAAGAAUUCAUAAAAGAUACCAAUCUCAGAUCAUGGAAGCCAAGGACAAUAGAAUGAAAGCCACCUCAGAAGUGCUUCGUAACGUGAAGAUUCUGAAACUUCAAGCAUGGGACAAUCAAUUCCUCCACAAGCUCGAAAGCUUAAGGACCAUUGAAUACAAUUGCUUGUGGAAGUCUCUUAGACUUUCAGCAAUUUCAGCUUUUAUUUUCUGGGGAUCACCCACAUUUAUCUCUGUGGUGACCUUUGGAGCAUGUAUGCUAAUUGGAAUUCAGCUCACUGCCGGAAGAGUUCUAUCAGCAUUGGCUACCUUCCGAAUGUUACAGGACCCCAUAUUCAAUUUACCUGAUCUGCUCUCAGUGAUUGCCCAAGCCAAAGUCUCAGCAGAUAGAGUGGCUUCCUACCUUCAGGAAGGUGAAAUUCAACAUGAUGCCAUUGAGUAUGUUCCAAAAGAUCAAACAGAAUUUGAGGUUGAAAUUGAUGCUGGAAAAUUCAGCUGGGUUCCUGAGUCAAGCAUACCAACCCUUGAUGGAAUACAGUUGAAAGUGAAGAGGGGGAUGAAGGUGGCAAUUUCUGGGACUGUAGGAUCGGGCAAGUCUAGCUUACUUUCUUGCGUUCUUGGAGAAAUACAGAAGCUGUCAGGGNNNNNNNAUCAGUGGUACAAAGGCUUAUGUUCCUCAGUCUCCAUGGAUACUGACAGGAAAUAUCAGGGAGAAUAUUCUGUUUGGGAAUCCGUAUGACAGUGCCAAGUAUUGCACAGUUAAAGCAUGUGCCUUGACAAAGGAUUUUGAUCUGUUCAACUGUGGUGACUUAACCGAGAUAGGAGAAAGAGGAAUAAAUAUGAGUGGGGGACAAAAGCAAAGGAUACAAAUUGCUCGUGCAGUGUACCAAGAUGCUGAUAUAUAUCUGCUUGAUGACCCCUUUAGUGCGGUAGAUGCUCAUACAGGCACCCAACUCUUUCGGGAAUGCUUAAUGGGAAUCCUCAAAGACAAAACUAUACUUUAUGUUACCCACCAAGUUGAGUUUCUUCCUGCAGCAGACCUCAUUCUGGUGAUGCAAAAUGGGAGAAUGGCACAAGCUGGAACUUUUGAUGAACUUUUGAAUCAAAACACAGGAUUUGAAAUUCUAGUCGGUGCUCAUAGCCAAGCCCUAGAGUCAGUUCUUAAGGUUGAAACUACAAGAAGAAUGUCUCAAAACCAAGUAUCUGAUGCCAAAUCCAAUACAGAUUCUUCUGCAAAAGCAGACCUUUCAAGCACAAGACAUGACUCAGACCAUGACCUCUCUGUAGAGAUAACAGAAAAGGGAGGAAAACUGGUGCAGGAUGAAGAAAGAGAAAAAGGAAGCAUUGGAAAAGAAGUUUACUGGUCAUAUUUAACCACUGUGAAACACGGAGCCCUGGUUCCGAUCAUACUCCUGGCACAGUCAUCGUUCCAAAUGUUACAGAUUGCUAGUAACUACUGGAUGACAUGGGCUUCUCCUCCCACAAGUGAAAGUGAGCCAGUAAUGGGAAUGAAUACCAUAUUACUUGUUUAUGUACUACUUGCUGUUGGAAGUUCUUUUUGCGUAUUGCUCAGAGCCACGCUAGUUGCAGUAGCUGGACUUUCCACAGCACAAAAGCUCUUUACAAAGAUGCUGCAUAGUGUACUCCGGGCUCCAAUGGCAUUCUUUGAUUCAACCCCAACUGGAAGAAUCUUGAACCGGGCAUCGACAGACCAGAGUGUGCUAGACUUGGAAAUAGCAAACAGACUAGGUUGGUGUGCUUUCUCAAUAAUACAGAUUAUAGGAACCAUUGCAGUAAUGUCCCAGGUUGCAUGGGAAGUAUUUGUAAUCUUCAUUCCAGUAACUGCAAUCUGCAUAUGGUACCAAAGAUAUUACAUACCGACAGCUAGAGAACUAGCCCGCUUAGCAGGAAUACAGAGAGCUCCGAUUCUUCACCACUUUGCAGAAUCACUAGCAGGAGCAGCAACUAUUCGUGCUUUUGAUCAAGAAGACCGUUUUAUUGAAGCAAACCUUGAUCUUAUAGACAGCCACUCAAGGCCAUGGUUUCACAAUGUAUCAGCAAUGGAAUGGCUUUCUUUCAGAUUGAAUAUACUAUCCAAUUUUGUCUUUGCCUUCUCUUUGGUUUUGCUGGUCACCCUUCCCGAAGGAAUAAUCAGUCCAAGCAUUGCGGGAUUGGGAGUAACAUAUGGGAUAAAUUUGAAUGUUUUGCAAGCUUCAGUUAUAUGGAACAUAUGUAAUGCAGAAAACAAAAUGAUCUCGGUAGAAAGAAUUCUUCAGUACUCAAAUAUAACAAGUGAAGCACCCCUUGUGGUUGAAGAGUGCAGACCUUCAAACAACUGGCCAGAAAUAGGAACAAUAUGCUUCAAAGAUUUGGAGAUUCGUUAUGCAGAACAUCUCCCAUCUGUCCUUAAAAACAUUAGCUGCACGUUUCCUGGAAGGAAAAAAGUUGGUGUUGUAGGGAGGACAGGAAGUGGGAAAUCAACCCUCAUACAGGCCAUUUUCAGAAUUGUCGAAGCGAAAGAGGGAAGCAUUUUAAUCGACGAUGUGGACAUUUCCAAGAUAGGCCUUCAAGACUUAAGAUCAAGGCUUAGCAUCAUCCCGCAGGACCCAACAAUGUUUGAAGGAACAGUGAGAGGAAACCUUGAUCCGCUAGACCAAUACUCUGAUCAUGAAGUAUGGGAGGCUCUAGAUAAAUGUCAGCUGGGUGAUUUAGUACGCUCAAAAAAUGAAAAGUUGGAUGCCACAGUGGUUGAAAAUGGAGAAAACUGGAGUGUAGGGCAGAGACAGUUGCUCUGUCUGGGAAGAGCCUUGCUAAAGAAAAGCAGCAUUCUUGUGCUGGAUGAAGCGACAGCAUCGGUUGAUUCAGCAACAGAUGGAGUAAUACAGAAAAUCAUUAGCCAAGAGUUCAACGAUCGGACAGUGGUGACAAUAGCUCACAGAAUUCACACGGUUAUAGACAGCGAUCUUGUUUUGGUCCUUAGUGACGGAAGAAUUGCGGAGUAUGACACCCCGGCAAGACUGCUAGAGAGAGAGGAUUCUUUCUUCUCAAAACUUAUAAAAGAGUACUCCAUGAGGUCACAGAGCUUCAAUAGCUUUGCAAAUGUGGCAGCAGGCUAGUUGCAGACAGAAAGUAACAAGAAAAGAAAGUGAUUGAAAUAAAUGGUCCAUAAGCCUAUGAAUUAAUUGGUUUAGAUCGGCAGAAAUGGUACCAGCACUAGUAGUAGUAGUAGUGGAAGGUCCGCCAUAGGCAGAGGCAGUGACCUCCAUGUAGCAAGUAGUCGUGAGAUUAGAAAUCAAUUAAUUGCAUUUGUGAUUGUGAUACAACAUGAAAGAAAAUGAAAAAUGACUGAUCCAUUCGUUCCUGCAUCCUCUGGUCUAGCAAGCAGAAUGUAACUUUUUUUUUCCUUCUUUUUUUUUUUUUUU